CAUAUAGUAUAUGCUGAUCUGCCAGAAUGAUGUGGAAUUUGAAAAAUGAAUAUCUGUACAAGACAAACAACAAGAUAAGACUAAAACCUAUAGGAAAGGGAGGAACUUAUCUUUAUUUUUAAAGAACUAGAGGCAUCACGUUAAGAAGAUUGACAAAAGAAGCUCACCUGUUGAUUGCAACCUAAAUAUGUUUCUGCUAGCUGUGACGUUUGCUGCUGCAUUCCUACAUUCCUCAUGGCUCCCCUACCGCAGCAGCUUAAAGACAAAAAGCUGUCCUACAAGCACACAUUUGUAGUCGUUUAUAUGAAGACCACAGCCCUUCAGCAAAAUACACAUUCAAUUUAAGCGCCUGCAGGUCUCGUAUAUUUUGCACAGUUAAAUGUGACAAGCACAUAACGUGGGUUGUAUUUGAAUUUUGACUCUCCAUUUCCUUCGGUUACGUUCAUCUCCAAGAUUCACUCUUUGGCAGUGAGUGUUUUUCUUCCCCAGAAAAGUUGAAACAAUGUCUGGCUUAUGACCUGCUAAAGAAUCCUCAUCAAAUCGUACCAGACCUGAACAUUGAUUUAGCAAAAUGAUACAAGGUUAGCAUCAAGUCAUCUCUUUCUGCACAAUAGAACAUGCCAAGCUGUAGACUUGUUGCUGGAGCAAAAUAGACUCAGAAAUAUCCGGCAGAGGAAAAUGAUCCAACAACAAAUAAUUAAGAGUCGAAGAGAAGGAGAGAAGGAUGGGGUGAACGAAAAACGACUGGAAGCAUUCAUUGGCUGAGAAAAACUCAAUAAUUAAACAUAAUGUACCGGAGGCAGCCAGGCUGUGCAUUUCCCCAGGCAGAUUCAGUCGCUGCUUCAUGUUUGGUCAGGAGAGAGUUGAAUUGGCUGGGUGUGUCUGUCACAUUGAGCUUCAUUUGUCACCCAGUGACAGAAUCGGUACACUAAACCGGGUUUGUUCAGAUCCACUAAAGACAUUGUGACUGAUAAAAAACAUAAAAUUAUUUGGGGUCCAGAAAUAACAAAUAUUGCUCUACAUCGUGAAUAAAGUAAACAAAUUGGUAGAAGACGACAAAUUCCAGAUUGCAUGUGUGACAUCCAGUAUUUCACGCAUUUUUUUAAUAAUGCAAAUUUACAAUGAGAGCAGCUGAUGGCAUAAUAAACUCAGAUCUCUCUCACAGGUCAUCUCCGGCCUCGCUCUCCAGGCUACAAUUUAGAUCUUCAUUUUAGAAGAACUAAACUUCUUCUUAAAAGUUUAGUUCCUCCCACACUGCCACAUGUCACCACUUCUUCCUGGGUGAUCCUCAAAACAACAUCAGGAAUCCUCUCACUGAAACACCACAGAUCACCGAUUCAAGCAAACAACCAGAUCGACAUCCAUCGCCUCUUUUACAGCGAAGGUUUUUCACGAACCCGACUUUAAGCUUAAAUUAUGAGCCAGCAGCAGAGCAGCAUUGUGCAACCUUAAAAUAAUAUUUAGCUAAAAGUGAAAACAUGGGACGUGCCGUGGUGGCAUAGCGGUUGGCGCGACCCGAAUUUGGAGGCCUUGAGUCCUCGACGCGGCCGUCACAGCUGAUGAACCAGCUU